CCGAGACAUAGAUAAAGCUGAAAAUGUAAGGAGCCUUCAUUUGAAUACACUACUGCUUCGAGGUAACAGUGCUGUUUAAGGAUGUCUUGCCACCGAGUCUGGGUUUUGCUUCUCUUGGCGGUCUUGGCACUGAAUUUUGUUGAGAAUGAGGCAGCAGCCUUCCCCUGGUCCUGCCCCACUCUGAGUGGAGUUUGUAGGAAAGUCUGUCUACCGACAGAAAUGUUCUUCGGGCCUCUGGGCUGUGGGAAAGAAUUCCAGUGCUGUGUGUCUCAUUUCUUUUAAGGGCACGUUGAGGCUGUCAUGAGGACUCUGCAAUGACACCAUCUUGGACCGGAGGGCUGGAUAUUUACAUCCACACUCUGCGAAGCAAUGGACUUAUCUUACGUCACAUUUAAAUCUAUGCAAGCCUUUUCUUAUAGAAUUUACAUCUUGAACUCUUUGCACGUUGAAGUGUUUGAUUAAAGUGUUUUGAUCUGCUUGAAA